rnacentral:rRNA from 1 species
AUGAGUCAACCUGAUGGGAUCAACAUCCCCGACGGCAAGUUCUACCUUGGAGAUGCUAGCUAUCCAUGUCGGUCGGGUAUUCUUCCACCCUUCAGGAAAACAUGGUACCAUCUCAACGAGUUCUCUGGUAGGAACUUUCCUAGCACUGCACAUGAGCUGUUUAAUCUCAGACACUCCAUCCUUAGAGUAACUGUUGAGAUGGCAUUUGGAGCUGUGAAGAAUAGGUUUAAGAUCCUGGAUCAGAAGCCAUUCCACCCAUACCCCACUCACGUUAAGCUAGUUCUUGCUUGUUGCAUUCUGCAUAACUGGAUCCUCUAGUGGGGCUUUGAUGAACAUGUGCCUGAGGAGGAAGAGGUCGAGCCUGACGAUGUUGUUAGCUCUGGCCAUGGUGUGGAGGCAUUUGACAAUGACGCUUGGAAGAACAAAAGGUUGGAGUGGGCAGAGGCAAUGUGGCUUAACAAGGGUUAG